rnacentral:rRNA from 1 species
AGACGGAGGGCGCAAGCGUUGUUCGGAAUUACUGGGCGUAAAGGGCAGGUAGGUGGUCUGUUAAGUCUUCUGUGAAAACCCGGGGCUCAACCCCGCGGAAUGCAGGUGAAACUGGCAGACUUGAGACCGGUAGAGGCUAGCGGAAUUCCUGGUGUAGCGGUGGAAUGCGUAGAUAUCAGGAAGAACACCUGUGGCGAAGGCGGCUAGCUGGGCCGGUUCUGACACUGAACUGCGAAAGCGUGGGGAGCAAACAGGAUUAGAAACCCCAGUAGUCC